rnacentral:lncRNA from 1 species
GAAUGUGGUGACAAAGGAAGGAGAGUUUUGAAGGUGCAAUGGUCAAUGGCACUUGCUUCCUGUUCUGAAACCUGAGAGGAAGGAGCUGCUUUUCACUGCUGAGCCUGUCUAACCAAGCCUGUUGAAACAGCAUUGUUCCCUGAAUGGAAGAUGAAUUGCUGUGGGGAGACUGGAGGCAGACAAACUCAGUGGCAAGCUACUGCAAUGGUCCAGGCAUGAGGUGAUAGGAGCCUGCACAAUGGUGGUGGCAGUGUCAAAGGAGAGAAGAGGACAUAAUCAAGAGAUUCACAAAGGUCUGAGACUUAAGAAGAAGGAAGAAGAAAAUAACAGGAUCCCUUUGCUAACAAGGCUUCAGUUAAAGGGUAGAAGAAACAAUUAUAGACCAAGAUAGUGUUUGGAUUUUCAUGGCACAGGUAAGAAGAGUGACCCU